rnacentral:rRNA from 1 species
ACGAACGCUGGCGGCGUGGAUAAGACAUGCAAGUCGAACGGGAGAAUUGCUAGCUUGCUAAUAAUUCUCUAGUGGCGCACGGGUGAGUAACACGUGAGUAACCUGCCUCUUAGUGGGGGAUAGCCCUGGGAAACCGGGAUUAAUACCGCAUACGAUUGAAAGAUCAAAGCUGCAAUGCGCUAGGAGAUGGGCUCGCGGCCUAUUAGUUAGUUGGUGAGGUAACGGCUCACCAAGGCGAUGACGGGUAGCCGGUCUGAGAGGAUGUCCGGCCACACUGGAACUGAGACACGGUCCAGACACCUACGGGUGGCAGCAGUCGAGAAUCAUUCACAAUGGGGGCAACCCUGAUGGUGCGACGCCGCGUGGGGGAAUGAAGGUCUUCGGAUUGUAAACCCCUGUCAUGUGGGAGCAAAUUAAAAAGAUAGUACCACAAGAGGAAGAGACGGCUAACUCUGUGCCAGCAGCCGCGGUAAUACAGAGGUCUCAAGCGUUGUUCGGAAUCACUGGGCGUAAAGCGUGCGUAGGCUGUUUCGUAAGUCGUGUGUGAAAGGCAGGGGCUCAACCCCUGGAUUGCACAUGAUACUGCGAGACUAGAGUAAUGGAGGGGGAACCGGAAUUCUCGGUGUAGCAGUGAAAUGCGUAGAUAUCGAGAGGAACACUCGUGGCGAAGGCGGGUUCCUGGACAUUAACUGACGCUGAGGCACGAAGGCCAGGGGAGCGAAAGGGAUUAGAUACCCCUGUAGUCCUGGCAGUAAACGGUGCACGCUUGGUGUGCGGGGAAUCGACCCCCUGCGUGCCGGAGCUAACGCGUUAAGCGUGCCGCCUGGGGAGUACGGUCGCAAGAUUAAAACUCAAAGAAAUUGACGGGGACCCGCACAAGCGGUGGAGUAUGUGGCUUAAUUCGAUGCAACGCGAAGAACCUUACCUGGGCUUGACAUGUAAUGAACAACAUGUGAAAGCAUGCGACUCUUCGGAGGCGUUACACAGGUGCUGCAUGGCCGUCGUCAGCUCGUGUCGUGAGAUGUUUGGUUAAGUCCAGCAACGAGCGCAACCCCUGUUGCCAGUUACCAGCACGUCAAGGUGGGGACUCUGGCGAGACUGCCCAGAUCAACUGGGAGGAAGGUGGGGACGACGUCAGGUCAGUAUGGCCCUUAUGCCCAGGGCUGCACACGUACUACAAUGCCCAGUACAGAGGGGGCCGAAGCCGCGAGGCGGAGGAAAUCCUGAAAACUGGGCCCAGUUCGGACUGUAGGCUGCAACCCGCCUACACGAAGCCGGAAUCGCUAGUAAUGGCGCAUCAGCUACGGCGCCGUGAAUACGUUCCCGGGUCUUGUACACACCGCCCGUCACAUCAUGGAAGCCGGUCGCACCCGAAGUAUCUGAAGCCAACCGCAAGGAGGCAGGGUCCUAAGGUGAGACUGGUAACUGGGAUG